AGGACGAACGCUGGCGGCGUGCUUAACACAUGCAAGUCGAACGGUAAGGCCCCUUCGGGGGGUACACGAGUGGCGAACGGGUGAGUAACACGUGAGCAACCUGCCUCUGACAUUGGAAUAACAGUUGGAAACAGCUGCUAAUACCGGGUAUGACCUGUCACCGCAUGGUGGUGGGUGGAAAGCCUUGGCGGUCAGAGAUGGGCUCGCGGCCUAUCAGCUAGUUGGUGAGGUAAUGGCUCACCAAGGCUUCGACGGGUA
rnacentral:rRNA from 1 species